AUCGAUGCAAGUCCCUGGCUGGGCAGAACCUUUGGACGGUUCCCCGGGAUCGGGCGGGCGCGGAGCCCGGCCCACCCGCGCCACGGAGGGAACGUGCACCCACGGCAGCCCAGACGCGUGAUAAGACUUGUCUGCGCAUCACCCGGGCCCGGAGCCUCUAAUUACACGUCUGGGGCCGCGGAGCCCGGGUGGCCAGCUCACAUGCCCCACGACCGGAGAUAUGGCUGGGGCCCGGUUCCCUGCCCGCACGCCCGCCGGGGGCGGCGCCCAGCCCGUGCGUCACGGCCAUCCACAUGAUAAUGACCACAUUCCAAAGACAACAAGAGUCCAUUUCACAGGCUGUUCUUUCUUUUCAGAGCAUUGCCACAGUUUUAUCUCCCCAUCAACGUUCCCAGCCCUACCUUUUUGGAAAUUUCAUCUCAACUUUCCACCUGCUCCGCACUCGGUGCGGGCGUCCUGCCUGGCUCCGCGGCGGAGCUGCGCGCAGCGUCGCCUGGGCCGGCGAGGGUCUGGUGUGAUGGGACUUGGGCGGAUUUAACCUGCUCACGGUGUGUAAUGAUUAACAGCCACCAAGUUAUCAAGAACGGGCCGUUUGCGGUGGAGGGAACGACAGCUGGGUGAUGUCAUCAUUUAAAGGAAAGGACGCCUGCCCGGAGCCGGGGGAGAAAGCCACUGUCGCUGGGACCGAGCCCGCGAGGGACGUGGGGCCGGAGGCUGCCCGUGGGAGCCGCAGCGGCUGAGCCUGUCGGUAAUCAGCUGCGUGGGAGGCUUCGAGGGCAGCAGCCAGGAACCUGCUGUUGUUUUUGUUUUCGAAGCUACACAUCCCACCUCCACCCCCCCCAAGCGGAGAGGACGCUGAAUCAGUGCAGAUGUUCCCUUGGCAAGAAUCCACACACUUGAACCUGAAGAAGUAGACGCCCGGUCAUCUGCUCGCGGAUAAGGAUCUCGUAGAGAAUCGGCUUAGGCUGAAAUGCUCGUUCUGAAACCCGCAGUGCCCGUCUGCAGACCGCUGCCCCUGGCGCACAGUGUUCAUCGGUCGGACCCUAAGGAUCCGGCGCCUUCCCAAUCCCCAAGGACAGUUCUGCCCAGAGCUCUCUGGGCAGCUUUAUGGGCCAGAAGCGGCGUGACCCUCCACCGGCAUGCAUGCCAGUCGGCCCUGGCUUCAUCCCCACCCAAAUGCCCAUUCCACCUCUGAACUUCUCACUUCGUUCUGAAUCACACCCUGAGCUGCACAGAAUCCGUGUGUGCCCGACUGAGAAGAAGCCGCUUCGGUUUUCCUGGAAUCGGUUAUCACCUCGCUGCCCCACAACUGGCUUCAGGUGGGACAUUCAAGGAAAAGUUUAUGCCAAUUCGGGGGCUGCGUUUUCCACUCCUUGUCCGGUUACCAACGCUGAUGCAGGCAGGUCGUUUUCCUUAACUCUGAACCUCAGGCCAGGCGAGCCGCCUGGUUCAGAGUGGGGCCGGCCUGCUGGUGUGCAGGUCACAGCCAGCGACGUGACUGGCAGAGCUACGGGGAGCCCAUCGGCCAUAGCCUCGCGCAUGCGGGCCCCUGCCGCCCGGCCAAGUAUGUCCUGAAACUCAGAAUCAAUCUAUAAGGAAAAAAAGCAAAGAAAUGUCUGGGCGCCUGGGACCCUUGCGGGAAUUCAUGAAGGCACAGAGCAGGCAGGUGGUUUGAUGGAGAAAUCGAAUCAUCAAAGGAAGAGGCUGGCACAGUCACGGAGAUGCCUUCUGCGAACUCGGUUCCAGAGUUCUGAGAAAGCUCUGUUUAUGGAAAUGAAACAGGACACAGCCUGGGGCGGCGGUCACGUGACUACCUGGAGACCCAUUCAGAGCUCACUCCCCCCCCCCCCCCCCAAGGCUGCCUCCCUGGGCUGUGCCUGUGGCCAGAGCGGCCAGAGCGCUGGGGCCCGAGACCCAGCAAGGCCCCGGGUGGCAGGAAGCUGCCAGGUGAGAGGGAGAGCCCCCGACUCGAGGGCACUCUGGCCAGAAGCAAGGUCCUUCCUCUGCCAGCCUCUUGGGGAUUUUGAAACACAGAUAUGGGCACAAAAUUUUAAAUCACAAAACAUUGGAGGAAAACAAAGACCAAGAAAAACAAAACACUCAAUAAACAGAGACCAGCACCCCUGGGAACAUUUCACAGACAGAUGCCCCAGUGGAACUCAGAGCCCUCGUGGGGGGGGGGGGGGGUUGGAUGGUUGGAGCGUCGUCCUGAUAGGCCAAGGUUGCAGGUUCGACCCCCGCCCGGAGCACAUACAAGGACCAAGCAAUGAAUGUCUAAGUCCUAGAACUGAGCCGCCGCAAGGCCACGGCGACCUGCUGGGAACGGAACCGCCUUCCAGAGCAAAAGCCAUCACUUUUCAGAGGAAGAGGGAAAACCAGUGUAUACUGGGCGCCAUCCCUCAGCUUAGGGACCCGAUCAAAAUCCACGGGGCACGCCAAGAAGCGGGGGCGGCGGCCGUCGUCAGAGGAAAAAGCCGCCGACGGGAGCCGAUGCUCUCUCCUCACCGACGUUUCUACCUCCCUCCCUUCCUUUCUCUGAAAUCAAUAAAAACAUCUCUUUAAAAAUA